rnacentral:lncRNA from 1 species
UUUUUUUUUUUUUUGGCAGCUAUUGUGAAAGGGGCUGAGUUCUUGAUUUGCUUCUCUGCUUGGCUGCUGUUGGUGUAUAGCAAUGCUACUGAUUUUUGUACGUUAAUUUUGUAUCCUGAAACUUGGCUGAAUUCAUUUCCCAGUUCCAAGAGCUUUUGGAAUGAGUCUUUAGAGUUUUCUAGGUGUACAAUGAUAUCACCAGCAGAUGACGAGAGUUUGACUUCCUCUUUACCAAUCUAGAUGCCUUUUAUUUCUUUCUUGUCUCAUUGCUCUGAUGAGGACUUCCAGUACUAUGUUGAAUAGAAGUGGUAAAAGUGAGCAUCCUUGUCUUACUCCAGUUCUCAAGGGGAAUGCUUUUAGUUUUUCCUCAUUCAGUAUAAUGUUGGCUGUGGGUUUGUCAUGGAUGGCUUUAUUACCUUAAGGUAUGUCCCUUCUAUGCCCAUUUUGCUGAGGGUUUUGAUCAUAAAGGGAUGCUGGAUUUUGUCAAAUGCUUUUUCUGUGUCUAUUGAGAUAAUCAUGUGAUUUUGGUUUUUAAUUCUGUUUUUGUGAUGUGUCACAUUUGUUGACUUAAUUAUGUUAAACCAUUCCUGGUAUGAAACCCACUUGAUCAUAGUGGAUUAUCUUUUUUAUAUUCUGUUAGGGUUUCAGUUCACUAGUAUUUUCUUGAGGAUUUUCACAUCUGUGUUCAUCAGGGAUAUUGGUCUGUAGUUUUCUCUUUUAUUAUUUCCUUCCCUGGUUUUGGUAUUAGGGUGAUACUGGCUUCAUGGAAUGAUUAAUGAGGAUUUCCUCUUUCUCUAUCUUGUGGAAUAGUGUCAAUAGGGUUGGUAUCAAUUCUUCUUUGAAUGGUAGAAUUCAGCUGUGAAUCCAUCUGGUCCUGGACUUUUUUCUGUUGGCAAUGUUUUAAUUACCAUUUCAAUCACACUGCUUGUUAUUGGUCUGUUCAGAGAUUCCAUAUCUUCCUGGUUUAAUCUAGGAGGUUUGUAUAUUUCCAGGAAUUUAUCCAUCUCCUCUAGGUUUUCUAGUUUAUGUGCAUAAAGCUGUUUAUAGUAGCCUUGAAUAAUCUUUUGUAUUUCUGUGGUAUCAGUUGUAAUAUCUCCUGUUUCAUUUUUAAUUGAGCUUAUUUGGAUCUACUCUCUUCUUUCCUUGGUUAAUCUCACUAAUGGUCUAUCAAUUUUAUUUAUCUUUUCAAAGAACCAGAAUUUGUUUCAUUUAUCUUUUGUAUUUUUUUGUUUCAAUUUUAUUUAGUUCUGCUCUGAUCUUUGUUAUUUCUUUUCUUCUGCCUCAUUUGGGUUUGAAUUGUUCUCCUUUCUCCAGUUCUAUGAGGUGUGACCUUAGAUUGUCUAUUUGUGCUCUUUCGGACUUUUUGAUGUAAGCAUUUAAUGCUAUGAACUUUUCUUUCGGAACUGCUUUUGUUGUAUCCCAGA